CAGGUAGGACUACCCGCUGAACUUAAGCAU
rnacentral:rRNA from 12 species